CAUGGGAAAAUGGGGCGAUGGAGUGUAGCAUCGGCCCUGCAGGAUUUUUCCGCCUUCCGACGCAUCCCCAAGCGAGGUUGAAAACCUUUCAACAAGAGGCGUCAGUGAGAACUUGUGGAUGCCAGGAAGUGUCAUGGCAAGAGGCUGCAGUUCUGGAGAAAAGGAUCUCAGAAGAUAGGCAAGAGACUGCAGUUCUGGAAAAGGAACCUAAAAGAAGAUAGGUUUCUGAUCGAUCUGAACAUUUGCAUUGUUACGAUGGUUGCCUCCUGUUAACAUGUUUUGUAAAUUUCCACACUUGCAUGCAUUAAGUUUAAUUUCCAAAUGCACUUAGGAUUGCUGUGUAGUAAAGUAUGCGUGUUCAUGUAUUGUAUUUGAACAAGUGAUAUAAUUAUGCCUGUAUGUCACUUUGUGAAAUGAUUCAGUUGGCUUGCAAAGCUGCAUUUGAUUUGUACCUGUUUUUGAUUUAGUAAUAAAA